rnacentral:rRNA from 1 species
CAGCCGUAAACUAUGCGCGUUAGGUGUAUCGGUGACCACGAGUUACCGAGGUGCCGAAGGGAAACCGUGAAACGUGCCGCCUGGGAAGUACGGUCGCAAGGCUGAAACUUAAAGGAAUUGGCGGGGAGCACCACAACAGGUGGAGCCUGCGGUUUAAUUGGACUCAACGCCGGGAAGCUCACCGGAUAGGACAGCAGAAUGAUUGCCGGGCUGAAGACUCUGCAUGACUAGCUGAGAGGAGGUGCAUGGCGUCAGUGACU